AACGUAGGUGGCGAGCGUUAUCCGGAUUUACUGGGCGUAAAGCGCUUGUAGGUGGUUUUGUAAGUUGGGCGUGAAAUCUCCGGGCUUAACUCGGAACGGUCAGGUGAUACUGCUUUGCUAGAGUGCGGAAGGGGCAAUCGGAAUUCUUGGUGUAGCGGUGAAAUGCGUAGAUAUCAAGAGGAACACCUGAGGUGAAGACGGGUUGCUGGGCCGACACUGACGCUGACAGCGCGAAAGCCAGGGGAGCAAACGGG
rnacentral:rRNA from 1 species